rnacentral:rRNA from 1 species
UACGUAGGGUGCGAGCGUUAAUCGGAAUUACUGGGCGUAAAGCGUGCGCAGGCGGUUUUGUAAGCCAGAUGUGAAAGCCCCGGGUUUAACCUGGGAAUGGCAUUUGGGACUGCAAGGCUUGAGUGCGGCAGAGGAGACUGGAAUUCCUGGUGUAGCAGUGAAAUGCGUAGAUAUCAGGAGGAAUACCGAUGGCGAAGGCAGGUCUCUGGGCUGACACUGACGCUCAUGCACGAAAGCGUGGGGAGCAAACAGG